rnacentral:rRNA from 1 species
GAGCUGUCUCAAUAAAUAUUAUAUAAACUACUCUCUAAGUGAAGAAUCUUAGAUCUAAAUAAAGGACAAGAAGACCCUAUAGAGCUUUAUUUUUAUUUUAUAAAUUAUAUAAUUAAAAUUCGGUUGGGGCGACCAAGGAUAAUUCAUCCUACAAAUAACAGAUUAAUUAAUCUAUCUAAAGAUCCUUUCUAAGAGCAUCAAAAUUAGUUACCUUAGGGAUAACAGGCUAAUCCUAUUAUAGAGCUCAUAUCGACAAUAGGGA